rnacentral:piRNA from 1 species
UGGCCCGAACCAAGCAGACUGCGCGCAA